rnacentral:lncRNA from 1 species
GCCUGGGUGGGCCGACUACUCAGCCCUCGGGGGUCCUCCCAGGCACCGACGUCACUCCCAACUAUGUGGACAACGCGAGCGCGCGCGUGGCGCCCUGGUGCGACUGCGGAGCCAGCGGAAACCGGCGUGAGGAGUGUGAAGCCUUCCGGGGGCUCUUCACCAGGAACCGCUGCUUGGAUGGUGCCAUACAGGCCUUUGACGGUGGGCGGCCUCCAAUCCUGCAGGACCAGCUACAUGUCCGCCAGGACCCUGAGCACAGCCUCGUGCAAGUGUCCUCCACAGAUGGGCUCCUGGUUGGGAGCUCCCUGCUCUCCAUGCUCCCUGUCCUGGCUCACCAGCCCCUGCUCUAAGACAGCCGACCUUGGACAGCAAUGUCACUGCCCCAUCCUGCGUGGGGUACAGGGCCCAUCUGCACCCUGCUGCCCUACUGAAAGUGGACUGGCUUGCCUCCCAGGCUGACCUCAGUGCUCUUGCACUGCUGCCCUUUUUAGGUCUGGACACCCUGUAUGCCUGUCCCCUCGAGUUAGGGAUGUAGGCUGAGGGCCUGAUGCAAAGCCCAUGGUGUUCUCCUUUCAAUGGGUUUCUUGGUUGUAAGUCCCUCUCUCCACUGACCUUGGAACAGUCAGGUUUUCCCAAAGGGUAGGGAUGGGAGGGGGUCAUUAGUGUAGGUGAGGCCUCACUGGGGCACCAGAUCAGCAAGAAGUCAGAAACCAUCCAAAUUCCCAGAAUUUUAAGAGAUUUUACCGGCUUCCCCAAACAGAACAUGCCCUAAGGAGUACAUCUGAACAGACUUACAGGCAAAACUCCUCUUAACCUGCAGCCUUUCAUGGCACCCUCCCAGGGAGGCACCACCCGUCAUGAUAGCCACCUAUGCCCCAUGACUAAUGUCGGUAAGGUUCUUUCCAUCCAUGAUAUACUGUUUGGUGGGCACCACCUGGAGUGAGAAUCUAGUCCCCUGUAUUGCACUGGUCACAUGGCCAUCUUCCCUAUGGUUUAACCCAGCACUCUGAAUGGCAUCCGUAGCUCAAUAAACCCAUAUGCACUGAGACUGGCCUUGCUUCC